CCUACGGGAGGCAGCAGUGGGGAAUAUUGCACAAUGGGCGCAAGCCUGAUGCAGCAACGCCGCGUGAGGGACGACGGCCUUCGGGUUGUAAACCUCUUUUAGUAGGGAAGAAGCGAAAGUGACGGUACCUGCAGAAAAAGCACCGGCUAACUACGUGCCAGCAGCCGCGGUAAUACGUAGGGUGCAAGCGUUAUCCGGAAUUAUUGGGCGUAAAGAGCUCGUAGGCGGUUUGUCACGUCUGCUGUGAAAACUGGAGGCUCAACCUCCAGCCUGCAGUGGGUACGGGCAGACUAGAGUGCGGUAGGGGAGAUUGGAAUUCCUGGUGUAGCGGUGGAAUGCGCAGAUAUCAGGAGGAACACCGAUGGCGAAGGCAGAUCUCUGGGCCGUAACUGACGCUGAGGAGCGAAAGCAUGGGGAGCGAACAGGAUUAGAUACCCUGGUAGUCCAUGCCGUAAACGUUGGGAACUAGAUGUAGGGACCAUUCCACGGUUUCUGUGUCGCAGCUAACGCAUUAAGUUCCCCGCCUGGGGAGUACGGCCGCAAGGCUAAAACUCAAAGGAAUUGACGGCUGAGACGNGCGAGACGACGACGAGGGAGAG
rnacentral:rRNA from 1 species